rnacentral:tRNA from 1 species
GGGGGUAUAGCUCAGUGGUAGAGUGAAUGUUUAGCAUGCACGAGGUCCUGGGUUCAGUCCCCAGUACCUCCA